CCAAACUCUUUGUUCAGGCUAUUUGCAACAGCCGUUGCAGCUUUUCCUCCACCAUAUCUCUUGUUGAAAUCCUCCUUAACUCGCUCCAGAAAGGCAAUUGGAAUUUGCCUGCCAGCAGAUUCAACAGCAACCACACAAUAGGCUGCAGCAACCAAACAUCAAGUUCCAUAGUUAAUACAAUAUCCAUAAAAAUAGUGAAGAUUUUCAACAAAACAGUAACACAAUUGUCUAUAGUUGACCAACAAAUGAUGGGUAAUAAAUAACAAAAAAUUAAACCAGGUACUACGAAAUCCUCUGAAUAUUAUUUCAGAUAAUUUCUAAAGCAAAUGACUGAAACAACACGAAGUCAAGAAACAAGGAAAUUGUUGAGCACUACAAUGAGAAAAAAAAGAGAAAAAAACAAAAUUCUCUUAAAGUUUCUCAAACCAUGGGCCAUAAUUUUUGUUUAUCUGGUGGAUAGCUACAAAUAUCUGCAGCCAUAAGCUUCAGAAUUAACAUUUUGAUGUCACAUGUUACUUAUACUGCAACGAGCAUAAUAACUAAACUGAUCAAUACUGUUAAGACAAUGACGAUUCAAUCAGCAACCAAUGUCAUGUACAUACAAAUCAGAACUGCUCUUUCCAUGUCUGAAUAAGAAAAACUUGCAGAAUCAUUUUAUGAGAAAUCUAGAAAGAUUUCCAUGUCUCAAUCUAACUAUUAAAUCAAAGUCAGUCAAAGUGCCAGUAAGAUUGUACAAAUCAGAACUGCUCUUUCCAUGUCUGAAUAAGUAAAACUUGCAGAAUCAUUUUACGAGAAAUCUAGAAAAAUUUCCAUGUCUCAAUCUAACUAUUAAAUCAAAGUCAGUCAAAGUGCCAGUAAGAUUGCCAAAUAUCUUAUUAUGAAAUAUCAAAUAUUAUCUAGACCAUAAACUCAUAUGUAGAAAGGUAAUGGAGUUGAUUUGCGAAACAAAAAUGCUGUUACAUUUGUUUAGAAUGACUACAUUUUCCUACGCAGUCAAAGCACUAAAACCAAAUACCUAAUAUUCAUAGUAGGCAUAGAGAUAAUGAGUUUAAAUAUAUGCCAGAUGGCUAAACUAAAAGAAAAUUAUCCCCUAUACAAGACAAAUCUCCCAUUGUCCUUAUUUAACCAUACUAGGCAUAGAGACAAUGAGUUUAAAUAUGCCAGAUCAUUAUACUAAAAGAAAAAUUAUCCCCCAUACAAGAAAAACUCCCAUUAUCUUGAUUUAACCAUACUAUUGCUUCAUAUUCUGACAUAAGAAGUUACAAACAAGUAUAGUUUACUACAGAACAUUGUAAAUGCAUGAGAAGAAGCAACUGACUUAAACCUGAUCAAGGUUCCAUAAAAGACAAAGAAAAUACCAUUGUUCCUUCACAAAGAAUAAAAUUAUUUCCCUAAAUGUAUAAAUAAAUAAACAAACUACUUGCCUGCUUCGUAAUUUAAUAAAGUAAACGACAAAAAAAGAAGGCGCACUACCAAAAGUCAAAUAAGACCAAAACUUUCAUGUGCGUGUAUCAAGCACAAUACACAAAUACAACUAACUAUUCACCAAAUAUUAAUUCUCAAAUUAAUAACAUAAAGAGAGGAUUCAUCAUUUGCCAAAUAGAGAAACACACUUUGCUUGUCCCCAAAUUAGCUACACACACUAAACCUGAAAACAUAACUCUGGUGAAUUUCCUAUUGUAAUUGGUUAUUGUACACAGGAACUUCAGCCACUGAAAAUAAUCCAUUGACAUUUCACUGUUUCAUCCCUUCUGCUAAACAUUAAUCCUUCAAAUCAUAAAAUAGAUUACACACGCCACCACAUCUUAAUCAUUUACAAAUCAUCAUAGUUCAGAUUUCUAAAUCUUCAAUUCUUCAUUAACCAGCAAGAGAAUUAUAAGACUACGUAUGAUCUAUGCAUGAUCCAAUCCAAUUAGGUUAUAAAAACACAUCAAAACGAUUAAAUAAAGAUAUAUAUCACCAAGAAAUGCAAUAUCAAAUCAGAAUAAUAAAAAAGUCAAACACACGGAUCCAUGAGAACACAAAAGUCAACCAAAUCAAAAAAAAGAAAAAGAAUAGAUCCAGAUCAGAUUUGUCCAUCUUGUAAUUCGUAUGAACAUGAACACGUAAGAUGAAACGACAACGUACUGAAGCCGUUCUCAACGAGGUAAUUGAAGGUGUGGCCAUCGCAGUUAUAGGUGAACUUGUUAUUGGUAGCGGGAAGUUUCUGGAGACAUUGCGAUGCGAUGCUCGUGAAAUUACCGGUGAACUCAGUGUACUCGGCGAGGAUCACCGUGCCUCGAGCCACGAAGCUAUAGAUCAACGACUGUUGGCCCAUCCUCAAAAC
rnacentral:lncRNA from 1 species